GACGAACGCUGGCGGCGCGCUUAACACAUGCAAGUCGAGCGGGAACCGGGCCUUCGGGCCCGGGGACAGCGGCGAACGGGUGGGUAACACGUGGGUAAUCUGCCCUCGGUACUGGGAUAGCCCGGGGAAACCCGGAUUAAUACCGGAUAGCCCUUCGAGCCUUCGGGCUCGCAGGAAAAGGUAGCUUCGGCCUCCGACCGAGGAUGAGCCCGCGGCGGAUUAGCUUGUUGGUGGGGUAACGGCCUACCAAGGCGACGAUCCGUAGCUGGUCUGAGAGGACGAUCAGCCACACUGGGACUGAGACACGGCCCAGACUCCUACGGGAGGCAGCAGUGGGGAAUCUUGCCCAAUGGGCGAAAGCCUGAGGCAGCGACGCCGCGUGCGGGAAGAAGGCCCUCGGGUUGUAAACCGCUUUCAGGAGGGACGAAGCCACUCGGGUUAAUAGCCCAGAGGGUGACGGUACCUCCAGAAGAAGCCCCGGCUAACUACGUGCCAGCCGCCGCAGUAAAAC
rnacentral:rRNA from 1 species